AUACGUAGGUGGCAAGCGUUGUCCGGAAUUAUUGGGCGUAAAGCGCCUGUAGGCGGUUUGGUAAGUCGGUCGUGAAAAUGCGGUGCUUAACGCCGUAUGGCGAUUGAAACUGCUGAACUUGAGUGCAGGAGAGGAAAGGGGAACUCCCAGUGUAGCGGUGAAAUGCGUAGAUAUUGGGAAGAACACCGGUGGCGAAGGCGCCUUUCUGGACUGUGUCUGACGCUCAGAUGCGAAAGCCAGGGUAGCGAACGGGAUUAGAUACCCCGGUAGUCCUGGCCGUAAACGAUGGGUACUAGGUGUGGGAGGUAUCGACUCCUUCCGUGCCGGAGUUAACGCAAUAAGUACCCCGCCUGGGGAGUACGGCCGCAAGGCUUAAACUCAAAGGAAUUGACGGGG
rnacentral:rRNA from 1 species